rnacentral:rRNA from 1 species
UACGGAGGGGGCAAGCGUUGUCCGGACUUACUGGGCGUAAAGGGUGCGUAGGCGGUCUUGUGCGUCGGUGCUGAAAGCGCCCGGCUUAACCGGGCGAGGCGUGCCGAUACGACGAGACUUGAGGGGCAGCGAGGGUGGCGGAACUCCUGGUGUAGUGGUGAAAUGCGUAGAGAUCAGGAAGAACACCCGUGGCGCAAGCGGCCACCUGGCUGCCAACUGACGCUGAGGCACGAGAGCGUGGGGAGCGAACAGG